CUAGAGAUAGAAAGUUACUUCGGUACAUCGGUGACAGGUGGUGCAUGGUUGUCGUCAGCUCGUGUCGUGAGAUGUUGGGUUAAGUCCCGCAACGAGCGCAACCCCUAUUGUUAGUUGCCAUCAUUCAGUUGGGCACUCUAGCGAGACUGCCGGUAAUAAACCGGAGGAAGGUGGGGAUGACGUCAAAUCAUCAUGCCCCUUAUGCCCAGGGCUACACACGUGCUACAAUGGGCGGUACAAAGAGAAGCAACCUCGCGAGGGUGAGCAAAUCUCAAAAAGCCGUUCUCAGUUCGGAUUGAAGUCUGCAACUCGACUUCAUGAAGUCGGAAUCGCUAGUAAUCGCGGAUCAGCAUGGCGCGGUGAAUACGUUCCCGGGCCUU
rnacentral:rRNA from 1 species